CAAUAGCGUAUAUUAAAGUUGUUGCAGUUAAAAAGCUCGUAGUUGGAUUUGUGGCGUACGGUGUGUUCCGGGCACUUGUUGUCUGAGUAACCUGCUGUUGCCAUCCUUGGGUGGAACCUGUGUGGCAUUAGGUUGUCGUGCAGGGGAUGCCCAUCAUUUACUGUGAAAAAAUUAGAGUGUUCAAAGCAGGCUUAUGCCGUUGAAUAUAUUAGCAUGGAAUAAUGAGAUAGGACUUUUUUGCUAUUUUGUUGGUUUGCGCAAAGAGGUAAUGAUUAAUAGGGACAGUUGGGGGUAUUCGCAUUCCAUUGUCAGAGGUGAAAUUCUUGGAUUUUUGGAAGACGAACUACUGCGAAAGCAUUUACCAAGGAUGUUUUCAUUAA
rnacentral:rRNA from 1 species